GUGGGGAAUAUUGCGCAAUGGGGGAAACCCUGACGCAGCAACGCCGCGUGAUUGAAGAAGGCCUUCGGGUUGUAAAGAUCUUUAAUUGGGGACGAAAUAAAUGACGGUACCCAAAGAAUAAGCUCCGGCUAACUACGUGCCAGCAGCCGCGGUAAUACGUAGGGAGCAAGCGUUAUCCGGAUUUACUGGGUGUAAAGGGCGAGUAGGCGGGCCGACAAGGUGGGAGUGAAAUCCGGGGGCUUAACCCCCGAACUGCUUUCAAAACUGUUGGUCUUGAGUGAUGGAGAGGCAGGCGGAAUUCCCAGUGUAGCGGUGAAAUGCGUAGAUAUUGGGAGGAACACCAGUGGCGAAGGCGGCCUGCUGGACAUUAACUGACGCUGAGGCGCGAAAGCGUGGGGAGCAAACAGGAUUAGAUACCCGGGUAGUCC
rnacentral:rRNA from 1 species